rnacentral:rRNA from 1 species
CCUACGGGGGGCAGCAGUGGGGAAUAUUGGACAAUGGGGGGAACCCUGAUCCAGCCAUGCCGCGUGUGUGAAGAAGGCCCUCGGGUUGUAAAGCACUUUCAGUGAGGAAGAACGCCUGGUGGUUAAUACCCAUCAGGAAAGACAUCACUCACAGAAGAAGCACCGGCUAACUCCGUGCCAGCAGCCGCGGUAAUACGGAGGGUGCGAGCGUUAAUCGGAAUUACUGGGCGUAAAGCGCGCGUAGGUGGCUUGAUAAGCCGGUUGUGAAAGCCCCGGGCUCAACCUGGGAACGGCAUCCGGAACUGUCAAGCUAGAGUGCAGGAGAGGAAGGUAGAAUUACCGGUGUAGCGGUGAAAUGCGUAGAGAUCGGGAGGAAUACCAGUGGCGAAGGCGGCCUUCUGGACUGACACUGACACUGAGGUGCGAAAGCGUGGGUAGCAAACAGGAUUAGAUACCCCAGUAGUC